AACGAACGCUGGCGGCAGGUCUAACACAUGCAAGUCGAGCGCCCCAGCGAUGGGGAGCGGCGGACGGGUGAGUAACGCGUGGGAACGUGCCUCUUGCUACGGAAUAGCCUCGGGAAACUGGGAGUAAUACCGUAUGUGCCCUACGGGGGAAAGAUUUAUCGGCAAGAGAUCGGCCCGCGUUGGAUUAGGUAGUUGGUGGGGUAAUGGCCUACCAAGCCGACGAUCCAUAGCUGGUUUGAGAGGAUGAUCAGCCACACUGGGACUGAGACACGGCCCAGACUCCUACGGGAGGCAGCAGUGGGGAAUCUUAGACAAUGGGCGCAAGCCUGAUCUAGCCAUGCCGCGUGAGCGAUGAAGGCCUUAGGGUUGUAAAGCUCUUUCAGUGGGGAAGAUAAUGACUGUACCCACAGAAGAAGCCCCGGCUAACUCCGUG
rnacentral:rRNA from 1 species